GGGUGUGUCUCAGUUGGCUUGGGAACAUUUUCCUCUUUUUAAGAAAAGACAUUAGAAAGAUGAACUCUCUUCUCUUCCUGAAGACACUGUUUUGCCCAGAAGUGGUGCGGGAUCACCUGAGAUGUCUCACUACCUGCCUGAGGAUGACAGCACAGAAAGGCUGGAAAGGCCUAGGUCUGUCAAUCCUCGGAGCUCUGCCACCUCAACCCAACUGCCAACUGCCCCAUGAAACCUGCAGAGGUUGUGUUUCUGUCUCAGCAGGUGGACGCCUCCUGAUAGAAAUGCUGGGUGCUCAUAAAAACAAAACAACAAAGACCUAGAAGCUGGAACCCUGGGCUCCAUGACGAGAGACACUAGCUCCUAACUGCAGCAGCCCAGGGUUCUCCCCAGUGCCCACCACCCCGCCUGCUCCACACCGGGGCCGCCCCCCGCCCCCAACACGUGCAGUACCUCUGAACAGGGCCGCCAGGGCCCAGCCUUCCCGUGUGGACCUUGAGGGGGCCCUGUCCACACCUCAGCCUCAUGAGGAGCGGCCCGGACACAGUGACGAGUUGGUGACAGGAGCCCUGCGCCCAGGACUCCUUGUUCUGUGCCUUCACUGUGUUUGUGCCUUUCCAAAGCGUUCCAACUUCCUCACAUUGUUUUUCACUAUGAAAAACUUCAAAUAAAAACAAAAGCAGGGAGCCAGGGAUGUAGCUCAGUGAUUCCGUUGCCGGCCUUACAAGCACAAGUGCAAGGUCCUGAGUUCGAUCCCUGGUACAAAAAACAAGAAAAGCUGGAAUGGUGACCCACACCUCGUCACUCCAUUCCUGCUCUCCGUCCCACCCACCCGUCCCUUCUCACGUUCUUCAGAAACAAAUUCCAAGUUUCGUGUUACAUCCAUCUGCCUUCAUACGUAUUUCAAGAUGUCUCUCUAAAAGGUGAUAACCCUUCAAAGUAUAUGACCACAAUGCCGCUAUCACAUUUGAAACAAAUAACCCCAGAUACCGUCAGACAUCCAGUCAGCACUGAGAUUUCAACUUCUGUCAUAAACAGCACAAAAUGACACCCAGAUGGUCUCUUUUCUCCAGAAAACAAGCCAAUAGGUCUCUGGCAACUCGAUUAGGGUUACGCCUCUCCUCAGUACUCU
rnacentral:lncRNA from 1 species